CUUUGCGAAAGUGACGGUAAUACCUGAUGAAGUCCUCGAGUGGCAUCGCUUGAGGAUCAAAGGUGGGGAUCCGCAAGGACCUGCCGGACUGGGAUCGGCCCAUUUCCUAUCAGCUAGUUGGUGAGGUAACGGCUCACCAAGGCUACGACGGGUAGCGGGACUGAGAGGUUGGCCCGCCACAUCGGGACUGAGACACUGCCCGGACACCUACGGGUGGCUGCAGUAACGAAUCUUCCGCAAUGGGCGAAAGCCUGACGGAGCAAUGCCGCGUGGAGGACGAAGUCCUUCGGGAUGUAAACUCCUUUUCAAGUGACGAAAACUUUGGCGUGCUAAUACCACGUCGAGAUGAUCGAUCUUGGAAUAAGCCCCGGCUAAUUCCGUGCCAGCAGCCGCGGUAAUACGGGAAGGGGCGAGCGUUGUUCGGAAUCACUGGGCUUAAAGCGGGUGUAGGCGGGCCUUUCAAGUACCUUGUGAAAUCCCUCGGCUCACCGGGGAACGGCUGGGUAUACUGUUAGGCUUGAGGCUGAUAGGGUGCCUGGAACUCUAGUGGAGCCGUGAUAUGCGUUGAUAUCUAGAGGAACGCCUGUGGCGAAGGCGGGGCACUGGGUCAGUCCUGACGCUAAGACCCGAAAGCGUAGGGAGCAAACGGGAUUAGAUACCCCGGUAGUCUACGCCGUAAACGAUGCGCACGAGGUUCAUUGGCCUCUGACGGUUGGUGGGCCGAAACAAAAGUGAUAAGUGCGCCGCCUGGGGAGUACGGCCGCAAGGCUAAAACUCAAAGGAAUUGACGGGGGCUCACACAAGCGGUGGAGGAUGUGGCUUAAUUCGAGGCAACGCGAAGAACCCUACCUGGGUUAGACAUGAACGGAUUAGCUCUGUGAAAGCAGAGUAACGCGGCUUGCCGUGGAACGUUCACAGGUGCUGCAUGGCUCUCGUCAGCUCGUGUCGUGAGAUGUAGCCGCUAAGUCCCCUAACGAGCGAAACCCUUGUCGUUAGUUGCCAGCGGGUAAUGCCGGGCACUUUAGCGAGACUGCCGGUGUCAAACCGGAGGAAGGCGGGGACGACGUCAAGUCAUCAUGGCCCUUAUGCCCAGGGUUGCACACGUCCUACAAUGGGAUGGUACAGAGCGAUGCAAAACCGCGAGGUCGAGCAAAUCGCAAAAAACUUCCCUCAGUUCGGAUUGCAGGCUGCAACUCGCCUGCAUGAAGUUGGAAUCGCUAGUAAUCGCGUAUCAGCUAUGACGCGGUGAAUAUGUUCC
rnacentral:rRNA from 1 species